GGUUUACAUCUCGAACGGACAAGUAUUGGACAGCCGGAAUCAGUCCCCAUGGAGAUUGUCUUUUAUAACAGAUUUCUUCUGGGGAAUAGCAGAAUUUGUGGUUUUUUUUUUCAAAACUCUGCUUCAGCAAGAUGUGAAAAAGAGAAGAGGCCAUGGGAGCUCAUCUGAUUCCAGAUAUGAUGAUGGAAGAGGGCCACCAGGAAACCCUCCACGAAGAAGAAUGGGUCGAAUCAGUCAUCUUCAAGGCCCCAGCCCUCCUCCAAUGGCUGGCGGAUGAGGAAGGUAAACGUCUGCUCUGCGGAGCAGACAACUAGACAUGCACAUGUGUAGAAGGAAACCAUCAAGAAGAGGUGAAGAACGGCUUAUGCAGGACAAGAUGGUGUAUGUCUAAACAAGGACUGCUCUGUGUCCUCACAGAUAAAUGAGGUCAUGCUGGGAAUUCCCUCUGCAGGAUCUGGCCUGACUGACACGCAGUUAGAUAAAUGGACAUGUUUGUCUCCUUAUCUUUUUUGUAUAGUUUACUUAAAGUAUUAAUAUAGUUUUAAUAAGUGAAUAUUUCUAGGUUGUAAAACUUGAUUCUUCAUCUUUAUAUGAUUAAACCCCAAGUCUCUGAUCUGGAAGAAAUAAAGGAUAUGUAUUUAGUUCUG